rnacentral:rRNA from 1 species
UGGGGAAUCCUGGUCAAUGGGCGAAAGCCUGAACCUGCGACGCCGCGUGAGUGAUGAAGGUCGUAAGAUCGUAAAACUCUUUUCAGGGAUCUUAAAGCCUGUCUGUCAACAACAGGCAGGUCUGACUCUCCCUGGAAGAAGCCCCAGCCAACUACGUGCCAGCAGCUGCGGUCAUACGUAGGGGGCGAUCGUUAUUCGGAAUUACUGGGUGUAAAGGGUAUGUAGGCGGCCCUUCAAGUCGCGUGUCAAAGUCCAG